AUGAAGGUCUUGAUGGUGAUGAAGCUCUUGGUGAAGAUGAAGACGAUGCUGCUGCUGACAUUGACACUGAUGAUGCUAUUGAUGAUGAUGAGGGUGAUGAUGAUGAUGCUAUUGGUGUUGAUGCUGUUGAUAGUGAUAAUGAUGCUAUUGAUGAUGAUGAUGCUGUUGAUGCUGUUGAUGCUAUUGAUGAUGAUGAUGCUGUUGAUGCUGUUGAUGCUAUUGAUGAUGAUGAUGAUGAUGUUGAUGCUAUUGAUGUUAUUGAUGAUAAUGAUGCUGCUGAUUUUGAUGCUAUUGAUGAUGACGUUAUUGAUGCUGUUGAUGCUACCGACGAUGGUAUUGAUGACGAUGAUGCAGUUGAUAUUGAUGAUGUUAUUGAUGACAUUAUUGAUGAUGAUGAUGCUAUUGAUGACCUUAUUGAUGUUGAUGCCGUUGAUGUUGAUGUUAUUGAUGAUGAUGAUGUUAUUGAUGCCUUUCAUGACGUUAUUGAUGUUGAUGAUGUUAUUGAUGAUGUUAUUAUUGUUGAUGACGUUAUUGAUGAUGUUAUUGAUGACAUUAUUAACGUUAAUGAUGUUAUAGAUGUUAAUGAUGUUAUUGAUGAUGAUGACGUUAUUGAUGUUGAUGACGUUAUUGAUGAUGUUAUCGAUGAUGUUGAUGUUAUUGAUGAUGUUAUUGAUGAUGUUAUUGAUGAUGUUAUUGAUGAUGUUAUUGAUGAUGAUGUUAUUGAUGCUAUUGAUGACGUUAUUGAUGAUGUUAUUGAUGCCGUCAAUGCCCCCCACUCCUCUCACCCCUCCUCCCUCCUCGAUGUCCCUCCAUAUGGGCGCCUCAGGUCCCCUCUCCGCAGCCUCCAGCAGGUUCCCCAUCACCACACUCCCCACCAGCUCAUGGCGCCCGAAGCGCUCGAAGUCAUAGACCCCAAAGUGCAGGCGCCGUGCGGGCAGCUCCGCGAACGGCACCGCGAACGCAAAGCUCUCGUCGAACACCGGCUCCCGCGUGCGCCGCUGCACCCGCGUCUGGAACUUGCGCUUGCGGUCGGGCAGCAGGUGGAUGCGCACGUAGGGGUCCCCGGUGGUGCCGCGGGGGGCCGCGGGGGGGCAGGUCGGUGGCGCGCAGCACGCGCACCACCAGCUGCUGGGAGCCGAAGGAGUAGCGCAGGGACACGCACAGGCGGCCGCGGGAGCCGGGACCGGGGCCGGUACCACCG
rnacentral:lncRNA from 14 species